AUUGAACGCUGGCGGCAGGCCUAACACAUGCAAGUCGAACGGUAACAGGAAACAGCUUGCUGUUUCGCUGACGAGUGGCGGACGGGUGAGUAAUGUCUGGGAAACUGCCUGAUGGAGGGGGAUAACUACUGGAAACGGUAGCUAAUACCGCAUAACGUCGCAAGACCAAAGAGGGGGACCUUCGGGCCUCUUGCCAUCGGAUGUGCCCAGAUGGGAUUAGCUAGUAGGUGGGGUAACGGCUCACCUAGGCUACGAUCCCUAGCUGGUCUGAGAGGAUGACCAGCCACACUGGAACUGAGACACGGUCCAGACUCCUACGGGAGGCAGCAGUGGGGAAUAUUGCACAAUGGGCGCAAGCCUGAUGCAGCCAUGCCGCGUGUAUGAAGAAGGCCUUCGGGUUGUAAAGUACUUUCAGCGGGGAGGAAGGGAGUAAAGUUAAUACCUUUACUCAUUGACGUUACCCGCAGAAGAAGCACCGGCUAACUCCGUG
rnacentral:rRNA from 1 species